rnacentral:rRNA from 1 species
GAUGAACGCUAGCGGCAGGCUUAAUACAUGCAAGUCGUGGGGCAGCGCAGGUAGCAAUACUGGGCGGCGACCGGCAAACGGGUGCGGAACACGUACACAACCUUCCGAGAAGUGGGGAAUAGCCCAGAGAAAUUUGGAUUAAUACCCCGUAACAUAACGAUGUGGCAUCACAUUGUUAUUAUAGCUUCGGCGCUUCUUGAUGGGUGUGCGGCUGAUUAGAUAGUUGGCGGGGUAACGCCCACCAAGUCUACGAUCAGUAGCUGAUGUGAGAGCAUGAUCAGCCACACGGGCACUGAGACACGGGCCCGACUCCUACGGGAGGCAGCAGUAAGGAAUAUUGGUCAAUGGACGCAAGUCUGAACCAGCCAUGCCGCGUGAAGGAUUAAGGUCCUCUGGAUUGUAAACUUCUUUUAUCUGGGACGAAAAAAGGCGAUUCUUCGUCACUUGACGGUACCAGAUGAAUAAGCACCGGCUAACUCCGUGCCAGCAGCCG